UACGUAGGGUGCAAGCGUUGUCCGGAAUUAUUGGGCGUAAAGGGCUCGUAGGCGGUUUGUCGCGUCGGGAGUGAAACACUGGGCUUAACCGGAGUGCUUGCUUCCGAUACGGGCAGACUUGAGGCAUUGAGGGGAGAACGGGAAUUCCUGGUGUAGCGGUGAAAUUCGUAGAUAUUGGAAGAACACCAGUGGCGAAGGCGACUUACUGGACACAUAUUGACGCUGAGGUGCGAAAGCGUGGGGGAGCAAACAGGG
rnacentral:rRNA from 1 species